rnacentral:rRNA from 1 species
UACGUAGGGUGCGAGCGUUUGUCCGGAAUUAUUGGGCGUAAAGAGCUUGUAGGCGGUUUGUCGCGUCUGCUGUGAAAAUCCGGGGCUCAACCCCGGACUUGCAGUGGGUACGGGCAGGCUAGAGUGUGGUAGGGGAGACUGGAAUUCCUGGUGUAGCGGUGGAAUGCGCAGAUAUCAGGAGGAACACCAAUGGCGAAGGCAGAUCUCUGGGCCGUAACUGACGCUGAGGAGCGAAAGCAUGGGGAGCGAACAGG